rnacentral:rRNA from 1 species
UAACGCGUGAGUAACCUGCCUUUCAGAGGGGGAUAACGUUCUGAAAAGAACGCUAAUACCGCAUAACAUCAAUUUAUCGCAUGAUAGGUUGAUCAAAGGAGCAAUCCGCUGGAAGAUGGACUCGCGUCCGAUUAGCCAGUUGGCGGGGUAACGGCCCACCAAAGCGACGAUCGGUAGCCGGACUGAGAGGUUGAACGGCCACAUUGGGACUGAGACACGGCCCAGACUCCUACGGGAGGCAGCAGUGGGGGAUAUUGCACAAUGGGGGAAACCCUGAUGCAGCAACGCCGCGUGAGGGAAGAAGGUUUUCGGAUUGUAAACCUCUGUUCUUAGUGACGAUAAUGACGGUAGCUAAGGAGAAAGCUCCGGCUAACUACGUGCCAGCAGCCGCGGUAAUACGUAGGGAGCGAGCGUUGUCCGGAUUUACUGGGUGUAAAGGGUGCGUAGGCGGCGAGGCAAGUCAGGCGUGAAAUCUAUGGGCUUAACCCAUAAACUGCGCUUGAAACUGUCUUGCUUGAGUGAAGUAGAGGUAGGCGGAAUUCCCGGUGUAGCGGUGAAAUGCGUAGAGAUCGGGAGGAACACCAGUGGCGAAGGCGGCCUACUGGGCUUUAACUGACGCUGAAGCACGAAAGCAUGGGUAGCAAACAGGAUUAGAUACCCUGGUAGUCCAUGCCGUAAACGAUAAUUACUAGGUGU